UACGUAGGGCGCAAGCGUUGUCCGGAAUUAUUGGGCGUAAAGAGCUCGUAGGCGGUGUGUCGCGUCGGUCGUGAAAACUUGGGGCUUAACCCUGAGCUUGCGGUCGAUACGGGCAAACUGGAGUGUUGCAGGGGAGACUGGAAUUCCUGGUGUAGCGGUGAAAUGCGCAGAUAUCAGGAGGAACACCGGUGGCGAAGGCGGGUCUCUGGGCAACAACUGACGCUGAGGAGCGAAAGCGUGGGGAGCGAACAGG
rnacentral:rRNA from 1 species